ACGGGAGGCAGCAGUGGGGAAUAUUGGACAAUGGGCGCAAGCCUGAUCCAGCGACGCCGCGUGAGUGAAGAAGUAUUUCGGUAUGUAAAGCUCUAUCAGCAGGGAAGAUAAUGACGGUACCUGACUAAGAAGCCCCGGCUAACUCCGUGCCAGCAGCCGCGGUAAUACGGAGGAUCCGAGCGUUAUCCGGAUUUAUUGGGUUUAAAGGGUGCGCAGGCGGCCCUGUAAGUCAGCGGUUAAAUCGUGGAGCUCAACUCCAUCCCGCCGUUGAUACUGCAGGGCUUGAUUGCGGUCGAGGUUGGCGGAAUUCGUCGUGUAGCGGUGAAAUGCAUAGAUAUGGCGAAGAACUCCGAUUGCGUAGGCAGCUGACCAGGCCGUAAAUGACGCUCAUGCACGAAAGUGCGGGGAUCGAACAGGAUUAGAUACCCUGGUA
rnacentral:rRNA from 1 species